UAUAAGGCACUAGGGGGAUACCUAGGUAAUUAAGUUAAAGGACGUAAUAGAUGCGAUAAGCUGUAAACUAACGUGUUACAGAUUUCCGAUAGGGAAACCUUCUCUUUUUGAGAAUUUGAAAACUUGGUGAAGUGAAACAUCUCAGUAACCAAGAUAGAAGAAAUCAACCGAGAUUCCGGGAAUAGUGGCGAGCGAAACCGGAGAUAAGGCCAAAUAAAUUUUAAAUAAUAUUACUGUGGAUACUGUAAAAUAACUAGAGAAAAGUUAUGCCAAAGAGGGUGUCAGCCCCGUUGCAGCCCAGAAUAUUAUACUAUUUAUGAUAAGAGUAAAGCGGGACAUGUGAAAUCUUGCUCGAACAUAGGAGAACCAUCUUCUAAGCCUAAAUAAACUUAAUUAACCGAUAGUGUACAAGUACCGUGAGGGAAAGGUGAAAAAGACUAAUGAACAGUUCUUGAAACCUAGUGCCAAUAAGCUGUUGGAGCUUCGAACGAAGUGACAACGUACCUUUUGUAUAAUGGGUCAGCAACUUUAUUUAUAUAGCAAGCUUAAGCUGUUAAGUGUAGGCGUAGCGAAAGCGAGUUUGAAAAAAGCUAGUAUAAGUUAUAUGAAUAAUACCCGAAACCGAGUGAUCUAGUUAUGAGCAGGCUGAAGUUAAUCUAAACGUUAAUGGAGGGCCGAACCCGUGUAUGUUGCAAAAUACUGGGAUGACUUGUGACUAGGAGUGAAAGGCUAAUCAAACUCGGUAAUAGCUGGUUUUCUGCGAAAUCUAUUUAAGUAAAGCAUCAAGUUAAUAAAGAUUUGGGGUAGAGCACUCAUUGAACUAGGGGGAUGAAAAUCUUACCAAACUCAAGGAAACUACGAAUACGAAUCUUGGUAUCUUGGUAGACGGACAUUGGGCGCUAAGGUUCAAUGUCAAGAGGGAAACAGCCCAGAUUAUUUGCUAAGGUCCUUAAGUAAUGUCUAAGUGGGAAAGGAAGUCAAAAUAUUAAGACAACCAGUAGGUAGGCUUGGAAGCAGCCAUCCUUUAAAGAAAGCGUAACAGCUCACUGGUCUAGUAAUUUGGCGCCGAAAAUGUAAAGGGACUCAAGACAUUUACCGAAGCAGUAACUACUCGUUUAUUUGCGAGUGGGGUAGCAGAACGUUCUGUAAGUUGAAGAAGCUUUUUUGAGAAAAAAGGUGGAAAUAUCAGAAGUGAGAAUGCUGACAUAAGUAACGAUAAACCAGAGCCUAGCCUUAAAAAGCCGGGCAGAAUUCUGGUCGCCGUAAGCCCAAGGGUUUCUAUAGUAAAGUUCGACUUCAUAGAAUAAAUCGGUCCCUAAGGACAAAGCGAAAGCUGUAACCGAUGGGAAAUAAUUGUAAAUAUCUUUUGUUGAUGACGAAAAUUAGAAGUUGAUUAGUUUAAGAACUUUUCAUUAUAAUUUUCCAGGAAAAAGUCACAAAAAUUUUAUGACCGUACCCGAAACCGACACAGGUGGGCGAGUCGAGUAGACUCAGGCGCGUGAGAGAAUCAAGUUUAAGGAACUCGGCAAAAUAACCUCGUAACUUCGGGAGAAGAGGUACUCUAACGAGUGACACAAAAUUGGGGGUAACGACUGUUUAGUAAAAACACAGGACUCUGCUAAGUCGUAAGACGAUGUAUAGGGUCUGACACCUGCCCGGUGCCAGAAGGUUAAGAGGAGAAGUAUAUGCUUCGAAUUGAAUCCCUGGUAAACGGCGGCCGUAACUCUGACGGUCCUAAGGUAGCGAAAUUCCUUGUUAAUUAAUUGUUGACCUGCAUGAAUGGUGUAACGAUUUCCCCACUGUCUCAAACUUGAUCUCAGUGAAAUUGAAAUGUCCGUGAAGAUGCGGACUAUCUACGGCUAGACGGAAAGACCCCGUGCACCUUUACUACAAUUUUUCAUUGUGCAUUAAACUUAAUUAUGCAGGAUAAGUGGGAGCUUAUGAUAAUUUAGCGCCAGCUAAAUAGGAAGCGUCCUUGAGAUACCACUUUUUUAAGAUUUAAUCACUUAACCCAAUUGCUUACACAGGUAAUGAACAAUGGGGAAGAUGAAUGAUUGGUAGUUUGACUGGGGCGGUCACCUCCUAAAGAGUAACGGAGGUGCGCAAAGGCAAGCUCAAACUGGAAAAAUAUCAGUUGUAGAGCGUAAUAGUAUAUGCUUGCCUGACUGUAAGGCAGACAUGCCGAGCAGGCAUGGAUACAAAGUAUCUGUGGGUUAUAGUGAUCCGGUGGUCCAUUAUGGAAUGGCCAUCGCUCAACGGAUAAAAGGUACGCCGGGGAUAACAGGCUAAUGACUCUUAAGAGCCCCUAUCGAUGGAGUCGUUUGGCACCUCAAUGUCGACUCAUCACAUCCUGGAGCUGGAGAAGGUUCCAAGGGUUGGACUGUUCGUCCAUUAAAGUGGUACGUGAGUUGGGUUUAGAACGUCGUGAGACAGUUUGGUCCCUAUCUACCGUAGACGAAUGAAAAUUGAGAGGACCUAACCUUAGUACGAGAGGACCGGGAAGGGUUGACCUCUGGUGUACCGGUUGUUGUAACAACAGCAGUGCCGGGUAGCUACGUCAAUUAAGAAUAACUGCUGAAAGCAUCUAAGCAGGAAGUUGACCUCAAGAUAAAUUUUAUUCCAACUGUAAAAGAACAUUACAUAGAUAGGUAGAAUUUGUAAGUACGGUGACGUAUUUAGAUAAUCUAUACUAAUCAGUUGAAAAAAUCAUAAAU
rnacentral:rRNA from 1 species